rnacentral:rRNA from 1 species
UACGGGGAGGGUAAGCGUUGUUCGGAAUUACUGGGCGUAAAGGGCUCGUAGGCGGCCAACUAAGUCAGACGUGAAAUCCCUCAGCUUAACUGGGGAACUGCGUCUGAUACUGGAUGGCUUGGAUUCGGGAGAGGAAUGCGGAAUUCCAGGUGUAGCGGUGAAAUGCGUAGAUAUCUGGAGGAACACCGGUGGCGAAGGCGGCAUUCUGGACCGAUAUUGACGCUGAGGAGCGAAAGCCAGGGGAGCAAACGGG